rnacentral:ncRNA from 1 species
AGGGGCUCGCGAACACCCCGUGAGGCUUCGGCCAAAGUUUCGC